GUGAUGAUGAACGCCAUCGAUACUGAGAUAUGAUGACCGGAUUCCUGGCUGAU
rnacentral:snoRNA from 14 species